UUUGUUUCGGUGGAUUCUUCAUACAGACUUCUUGUAGUCAACAUGGGAAGUAGGAGGGUUCUCCCAAUUGAUCCAUGUAUCGACGCCUAUGGUGGACCAUACAGCUUUCAUAGCACUGAAACGAGGAAAGAAAUCACAAUGUUGAAGCAAGAGUCCAACAAUGUGUUGCAGCUGAGGAUCCCUGGUUGGAAUACCAACCUCAUGGACUGGUCAAUAUGCGGGAAAUCUUCUACCGGCAGGCGCAAAGACUCCGCUUUCCUUGUCCUACAGGAGAUGGCCCACUAGAAUGGUACUACUCAUUCUGGUAGGAUGACCACUCACGAUUCAAUACAGCUCAGAAAGAACGUGAUGGUUCAGAUGCUGACGAUCAAAAACAAUGAAGCAGCUGGAAACAUACCGGCUGAAAUUAUAGCGGCCUUGAGUGUUUUAGACGACUGAAUAUGGUCCGAUGCACA